CCCGGCAAAGGGGAGUCAUGGAUCCAAGAACCCCGUCCUGCCCCCAGCACGCAGACCGUUGGACCCGCUCGGCGAAACCAGAGAGCUACCAGGACAGCACUUCAUUUCAGGCUCGCCUGCCUGAUGCCCGAUGGAACUGCCUCCGCUUUCUUUCCUUUGGAAUCGAACUGCUUGAGGUAGGCGACGACAUCGUCAAUCUGCUUUGGAUCUUUCA
rnacentral:misc_RNA from 1 species